UACGUAGGGGGGCAAGCGUUGUCCGGAAUCAUUGGGCGUAAAGAGCGUGUAGGCGGCUCGGUAAGUCUGCUGUGAAAGUCCAGGGCUCAACCCUGGGAUGCCGGUGGAUACUGUCGAGCUCGAGUCCGAAAGAGGCGAGUGGAAUUCCUGGUGUAGCGGUGAAAUGCGCAGAUAUCAGGAGGAACACCAAUGGCGAAGGCAGCUCGCUGGGACGUGACUGACGCUGAGACGCGAAAGCGUGGGGAGCAACAGG
rnacentral:rRNA from 1 species